rnacentral:rRNA from 1 species
GACGAACGCUGGCGGCGUGCUUAACACAUGCAAGUCGAACGGAAAGGCCCUGCUCUUGUGGGGUGCUCGAGUGGCGAACGGGUGAGUAACACGUGAGUAACCUGCCCUUGACUUUGGGAUAACUUCAGGAAACUGGGGCUAAUACCGGAUAGGAGCUCCUGCAGCAUGGUGGGGGUUGGAAAGUUUCGGCGGUUGGGGAUGGACUCGCGGCUUAUCCGCUUGUUGGUGGGGUAGUGGCUUACCAAGGUUUUGACGGGUAGCCGGCCUGAGAGGGGGACCGGCGACAAUAGGACUGAGAGAGGGACCAGACUGGUACGGGAGGCAGCAGGGGAGAAUAUGGCACAGUGGGCGGGAGCCUGAGGCAGCAACGCCGCGUGCGGAAUGACGGCCUUCGGGUUGUAAACCGCUUUCGCCUGUGACGAAGCGUGAGUGACGGUAAUGGGUAAAGAAGCACCGGCUAACUACGUG